GCAAGUCGAACGAAGUAGCAAUACUUAGUGGCAGACGGGUGAGUAACAUGUAGGUAUCUGCCCUUUGGCCUGGAAUAACACGAGGAAACUUGUGCUAAUACCGGAUAAGUCUUUACGGAGAAAGCUUUAUGCACCAUUGGAUGAGCCUGCACUUGAUUAGUUUGUUGGUGGGGUAAUGGCCUACCAAGACUUUGAUCAAUAGCUGAUUUGAGAGGAUGAUCAGCCACAUUGGGACUGAGACACGGCCCAAACUCCUACGGGAGGCAGCAGUGGGGAAUCUUGCACAAUGGAGGAAACUCUGAUGCAGCGAUGCCGCGUGAGUGAAGAAGGCCCUUGGGUUGUAAAGCUCUUUCGUCGGGGAAGAAAAUGACUGUACCCGAAUAAGAAGGUCCGGCUAACUUCGUGCCAGCAGCCGCGGUAAUACGAAGGGACCUAGCGUAGUUCGGAAUUACUGGGCUUAAAGAGUUCGUAGGUGGUUGAAAAAGUUGGUGGUGAAAUCCCAGAGCUUAACUCUGGAACUGCCAUCAAAACUUUUCAGCUAGAGUAUGAUAGAGGAAAGCAGAAUUUCUAGUGUAGAGGUGAAAUUCGUAGAUAUUAGAAAGAAUACCAAUUGCGAAGGCAGCUUUCUGGAUCAUUACUGACACUGAGGAACGAAAGCAUGGGUAGCGAAGAGGAUUAGAUACCCUCGUAGUCCAUGCCGUAAACGAUGUGUGUUAGACGUUGGAAAUUUAUUUUCAGUGUCGCAGCGAAAGCGAUAAACACACCGCCUGGGGAGUACGACCGCAAGGUUAAAACUCAAAUGA
rnacentral:rRNA from 1 species